AGGGCUGGGUUGGAGAGUGGGGGAUAGUAGGGAUACGGCUCAACUUACCCCAUACACGGGGUAAGUUGACCAUAGGAGACCUCUUUUUGGCAUGCUAUAUUAUCAAGUCAGUUAUGUUUACAUUCAUUCUGUUGGUUUUCAGGGAUGAACAACAUCUUGAAAUAUAUAAAGAUACACUAGUUAGAAACAAAACUAUGAUUGACUUGAUGUAGUGAUAAGUUUCCUCAUGUCAAGAAAUGAGAGAGGAGGAAAGGUGGUGAACUAUCAGAAAAUCAAUGUGCAGACUCUGCUGGACUACAGGGGCCUGCAUGCUAUGGGAUAUGUGAACCCACUUGGAAAAUCUGUUUCCUAAAGUGAUUUGACCAAACAGAAGGGGAAAAAAUACCACCUGUUGUAAUCAUAAUACAAUUUUCUGUCUUAAAUGUGGCCCUGAAACUCCAUCCUUCAGUUGAGCUUUUGAGCUUAACUUGUUUACAUCAUAACAAUAAUUUACAAGUUAAAUAAGUUUAAAAUAAUUGUUAUGGUAUAAACAAGUUUAACUUACAAUUUUUGUGGGAGGUCCUCUUCUGUGUUUCUACAACUGUAAACUGCAAACAAGCAGUCUGUGUAGAGUUCAUAUCCAGUUAAUUGGAUAUGAAUUCGAUCCAGUUCAUUAACAUACUUGGUGUCACUGGUGUGUGUGUGUGUGUGUGUCCAACAUGCACACAACAAUCAAAAUGAAGUGACGUUUCAAUUUCAGCAAACUCUCACUGGAAAGACAAGUUUUUCUCCAUUCUUCUCAUUAAAUUUUCCAGAGAGAAAAAGAUGUACAGCUGAUCAAGUAAACUGUAAAUAAAGAUGAAAUAAAGAGGAACAUACUUCACAUAUACAGUUCUUAGGAUGUCUUUAAGUUUUAAUUACUUAAUUAGCUUUAAGUAUUUUUUAAAAUCAUUUUACAUUUGUCUCUAGGGUCAAGUUAUCACUCACUGUAAAAACAAACCCCAAAAACCAAAGACAGGCUCUUAAAUGGCAAACACAAAGUCAGAUUAAAUCACUCCAGACUGAUGGUUUUUCAGAUGAGAUUUGGUGACGUGUUGUAGCCUGCUCGACUGAGAAAUGGUUAUUCUUGAAAAAUAUCUGGAUGUUUGUUAUGUGAAAGUUUGGUACACGUCCGAAAUUAUGAGUGAUAUUGAUUUUAGUAACAGUGUGAGGAAAUAUACAUGUCUAUGAACAAAGAUACACUCUUUCCAAAAGAAUUAAACAACACUACAAAUACAUUGCAUUUUAUUUUCUGUAACUUUGACAAAUAAAAAAUGUCUAAAAUGAAACAAAAUCACAUUGAAUACAGGUAAACAUAAAGAGCAGGUACAAGCACACAUCAAGUCAUGUAUUGUGGACAUUAGACAUUUUGCAAAUAAUAAAGAAUAACAAUAAUUUUUAAAUGCUUCUAUGGUAGGUUUGGCAGAUGAAUAUAUCAGUGAGUGAAAUGAUGAGACUAAACAGCAACACUUUUCUUCCUCAGAAACCAUUAAAAGAUUGACAUUUUACUCAGGUUUAAACGGAAAAACGGAAAAACAUUCUUAAAACCUUCUUAAAACAGAUGUGACUUCCAGGGGCAGAAUUAAACCCCAGUGAUCUACCACAGCUUUUCCCUCCUUCCUUACCCCUUUAUCGUCCCUGCAUUAAGAAAAAAGGGACAAACGGUUUUACUUUAUUAGUGUAAAAACAGACAUUUUAAAAUAUGUAAAAAGUGAGUGUCAUGUAGCAUCAGAUGUUGUUGAUACUCAGGUGAAUUUAGAGGUUAGAGGUUUAAAGCUUUUUUAUUUGAAGAAAAACUAUUUCAACAGUCAAUGACGUAAACAGCUUCAGCGUCCAAAAAUAUACAGAUGAUGUAAACAUGUUUUACUAACCGUCUGAUGAUGAGAACCUUCCUGUCUCUCCACCUUCAGAGGAAAGGACAUUGGGUGGUGCCUGACAAAGGAAUGAAUAUAAAAAAAACUAAUUAAAUUGCAGUUAUCAGAGUUUUGAUGGUUAAUUGUGAUUGGUCAUAUUUUUUUAUUCCAUGUCUGUUAUUUUGCAUUUCAAACAGUGUUUACAUUUGUAUUACAUAUGUGAAGCAGUUCUUAGCAGGUCCUUUAAAUAAUUGCAAUCAGCUGUACUGUAUGAUCUUGACUUUUAGAUUUAAUAUUCAAAUAAAUGUCGCAUUGCUGCACCAAUGAGGUCUGACUGUCUGAAAGAGAAUUUAUACUGUAAAAACAUUUCACUCACCUGUAGGCUGAGGAGUAGUGCGAUUCCUCUUCAGAUUUUACAGAAGGCCUCAGUCGGGGGUCAGUCUUGUCGUCCCUGUAAUAAGAGAUACACUGUUAUGUAAAAAAGUAGGUCUAAUGAAGCAACAGAUGCCAUUGAUACUCUGUUGAAUUGAAAAAAAAAGUGUUUGUUUAAAAGGUAAAGUUAGAAAAAUUUAAAUCUUUUCAUUUGAAGAAAGAAGGGUCACACUUUGACAAAAUUAUUUUAACAGUUAAUGACGUAAACAGCUUUAAAAUCCAAAAAUAUACAGAUGAAGUAAACACGUUUUACGAACUGCCUGAUGAGAAUAACGUCUCUGUCCCCAUCAGUUGUAUCUGUGUUUUCUGUCUUCAGAGGAAAGGACAUUGAGUGGGGCCUGACAAAGGAAUAAAUACAGAAAAAAAAUCAAAUUCAGAUUGUCAUUAAAAGCAGAGUUUUAAUGUUUGCUUGUGCUUAAUCUUAAUUUUUAUUCCAUGUCUACAGCUCUGUUAUUUUGCAUUUCAAACAGUGUUUACAUUUGUAUUACAUAUGUGAAGCAAUUCUCACCAGGUCCUUUAAAUAAAUGCAAUUAGCUGUACUGUAUGAUCUUGACUUUUACAUUUAAUAUUCAAAUACAUGUCGAACUGCUGCACCAAUGAGGUCUGACAGCAUGACUCAGGGGGAGGAGACUGCUGUGAAGAGUUCAUUCAUUAGAUUUUGACUUUAGCUACAAAACUAUUAAAAUGCUAAAGCUGAUAGCCUUGAUACAAACCCGACUGCAGAGAUACAUCCAUGUUUUAGAUCAGGUUUUACAGAGAGGGGGCUAAUCAAAGCAUUCUGCUUCUGUGAUUUGUGAUCCAUGUAUUAACAGUGUUCAAAAACUACUUCAAAACUGUCUUGAAGAGAAUUUAUACUGUGAAAACACUUCACCCACCUGUAGGCUGAGGAGUAGUGCGAUUCCUCUUCAGAUUUUACAGGAGGCCUCAGCCGGAGGUCAGUCUUGUCGUCCCUGUAAUAAGAGAUACACUGUUUUGGUGCUUCUUCUUCAGUGAGGGGUUAAAAAUCAAGAGCAAACACAAAAAUCUCGGUACAGACCAGAGACAGGCUUUCAACCUUAAAGAGGGCUGAGCGGAUCCAGAGACAGAAAAAAAAAGAAAGGGAAAGAGAGAGCAAGGUUUUUCUGGGACCGGCUCAGUUUGCCAAGAGCCUACUACAGGGGAAGAAAAGGGUCAAGCUAGAAGUCACUGUACAGAAGCUUGAGGAACCAGCUAGGUGACCAUGAGAAGAACAUCUCACUUGGUUUGCCAGGAUAUGUGCCUCACCCCACUGAGCCUGAAUCUCAGUCUCACA